rnacentral:rRNA from 1 species
UCCGCCUAUAUACCGCCGUCGCCAGCCCACCCUGUGAGGGAACGAAAGUGGGCUAAACUGGUAUUACCCCCAAUGUCAGGUCGAGGUGUAGCUUAUGGAAGGGGAUGCAAUGGGCUACAUUCGCUGACCCAGCGAAUCACGAAAGACAUACUGAAAGGCAUGUCUGAAGGUGGAUUUAGCAGUAAGGAGGGAGUAGAGCGCCCCCCUGAAGUUGGCUCUGAAGCGUGCACACAUCGCCCGUCACUCUCCCCGAAUUAGUCUACGCCGGUAACUAACAACACGGACGCCGCCGAGGGGAGGCAAGUCGUAACAUGGUAAGUGUACCGGAAGGUGUACUUGGAUAAAC